UGGGGUAUGGCCAAGCGGUAAGGCAUCGGUUUUUGGUAUCGACAUCCCAGGUUCGAAUCCUGGUACCCCAGCCA
rnacentral:tRNA from 1 species